UGCUGCAAUACCUCUCUCUCUCUCUCACUCUCUCCCUGCAUCCUACCUUACCCCACCUUCUUCCUGGUUCAUCUAUCCUCCUGCCCCCUGUUUUAUCUUUCCCUCUCUCCUCUAUCACUCUCUCACAGAUGCCACAUCACACCACACACUUGCACUUUCCCUCUCUCUCUCUCUCUCCCAUCUGCCUGCUUUCUCACUCGCUCCACCAGCUUGUCGCCGGCUGCCUGUUCAUUUGCCACGGCAGAGCAACAACUGGCUUCUUUCAGUGCUGGAGAGCAGCAGGAAAAGUGGAAGGAGAAGAAGAAGUAGAGGAGGGAAAGGAGAAGAAGAGGAGCUCUUUUGUGAAGCGUCCUUCGCUCAUCCCUCUCUGGCAGCAGCAGCCGCAGCAUCCGUACCACUGCCUCCAUCAGCAGCGGCGUAGCGGCCGCCGCUCUCGCUGCUGGAUGCUCCGUCUCCUGCCGGGAUCUGCCUCCACCUUCUCCUCAGGGAGCUCUUCCUGGAACUGGGAGGGGGAGGGAGAUCACCACCUCCCAGUUUGCCACGGACCCUCAGCGAGGCAAGGAGAAUUGUAGGAGAGCUGAGGAGAGGCACCACCCUGAGUGACAGGAGGAAGCAGGCCCCCCUGUCACCCUCCAACCCCUCCUUCCCAGGUCUCAUGGGGAAGAGCUGGAUGAGCUUUCGGGAGAUCUGGGCGGUGCUGCCGGGCUGUAGUCCAGGUGAGAGACGGUCGCCGUUUCUCACGCUCCCCCUGUCGCUUGCAGAGAUGGUUGCACAGAGGCGUGAGAGACUGAAUCGAUGUAACAGGAGCCAUUGAUGGAGCCUAGCCUCACACUGCAGCGAGGCGUCUUCAAUCAAUGCACUGGCCACUCUCUGUGUAUGUGUAUGUUUCUGUUUGCCACCGGAGCCUGAAGGGGGGCUGCUGAUGGCAGCAGCGAUGGCCAUGGUGGUGAUGGUGGUGGUGAUGAUGAUACGAUGGCAGUGGCGCUGCUCACGUGCUUUCUGGCUUAGCUCCCCUGUUUACUGAAAGACUCUCUUCGGUGACGGGUAUUCUUGGGUGGAUAAUACAGAUCACGUUGUUAUUGCUUAAGAAUACGCGUAGUCGAGGAGAGUCCUCUCUUCGCCCAAUACCCCUCAGCCCCCCCGCACUCACCCACCUCACCUCCCCCCGACAAAACACCACCCAACCACGGAGGUCUGUCAGGUUGGGUGAAGCCACACCUCCACGCUCCACCUUCCUAUAAAGAAAACCCAUCUCUUCUUUGAUUUCCGCUGCAUCCCGCUGUCUUGCCUUCCCGCCCACUUCCUGUGUGCUGAGCCACGGUGUGAGGUCGACAGUGUCCUCGUGUCUGUCCCACCAUACAUCUGUCGGUGUGUCUCUGUCUGCGAGGCGUGGUGUGUGGAUGUAGUCUUUCAGUGUGUGUGUUGUUCUUUGAGGGAAACGCUGGAUUAUUAGACGUGUGCAUGUGUACAUGUUCCUGCAAAGCCAGCCUGGAACAAGCAGUGGCAGCAGACAGAUGCCUGUCUGAAGCCUUCCCGUCAGGAAGGACACAUUCUCUCACGCGAGCAACAGGUUUCUGUGCUGAGCACUGGAUCUGCAUUAAUACUCCCGCCUGGCACUCUGUGUGUCGACAACAUGAAAUAAGCAAAGAUAAGGCUCUAGAUUUUAACAUAGAAACUAAAGCACGGCUCAUCAGGUGUAAUAUCUUUACAUCUUUCAUUUCCUUGGUCUGCACUGGACUGGCUGUACCUUAAACUCCAGGGCUGUGUGUGACAGGUGGGAUAGCCCCGCACACUCACACUGGGUAUGUAGAAGAAAGGCUUUUUUGGUCCUUGAAGGUUUGGAAAUUAGUCAAUUAAUAAAAAAGAUUAUUAGUACAAUUGGAGAUAAAUGAUCUGACCACGCCUCCAAACACGCCCCUAGCUCUACAAGCUUUUCGUUCUUGUUUUCUUGCCCCAGCCUCCCUCCCCUUUUUCAGUUCUUUCACGUCUUCUUUUCUCAUUAGUAAACGGGGAUCCCUCCCAUGCCUUCCCCAAACCACAGCUCAGUUCACAUUUAAUCCUCUAUCUACUAAAAACGCUGUCAAACCUAAAAUAAGGACGUGGGCCCAGCUCGUGAAUGCACUCAUCGAUAAGAAGGAUGAAGACCAAGGCUCAAUUCUGUCUAACACCGAAGAUGCCAACAACACCAAGAACAUACUGAGAGUGUGUGGUGAUGGCUUCAGACUGCUUCUCUUGUUUGAGCGUCAGUCCUCGUGUGCGCACGCUGCAGGCACAGCGCUCUGUGCUCGGCACAGCUAAACAAAAACUACCAUAAAAGCUGUGUGAUUAAGUUUGGCUUCAUUAGAGUGUGACAUCAGCGUGGGCCUGUAAUAUUUACUGAGGGGCCAGUGGACAUCCACCGGCUGCGGUUACAGAGUGGAACCUCCUUUUCUUCAGCUCCAUGUAGUGCAUUUAUUCUGUGACUGAGCUGUGCUGAGCUGCCUCUUGUGUUCCCCCUUUUUUAUGCAAAUGGCUGCUCAAAUGGCAUUUAUCGCAGUGAGGUUUACGCCACAUGUAACGCUGCUGCUGCCGCUGAGCCUCACACACACUCACACUAAUGCACGCACACACUCAUAGCUGAGAAAACAAAAUGUCCACCACGAGCAGUCGACAGCUCAAUUUAUGCAUUGAGGAAAGCGGCGUCUAGAUAAACAAUUACCCCUGGCUCAAAUGGUCUAUAACCAGCUUUUUCUGCGUUGCCAGCCGGGCCAAUACAUCAUGAAUAUGGAUUCCAUCUCCAUGUCUGAUGGCACAUUCUGAACCUUAACAGCCGUGUAAAAUCCAUUUAAACACUUAAUAGGAUCAGCUCGAGUCAUACAGCCACGUCCUCACAUGCAUCGCCUCCCGUGAUUGUGUGCUGCAGAUUUCCGUAUCGCCGGGCUUUUCCGAGCCUUUAAGAAGCAGUUUCUGCGCCGGCUUUGCUGCCACGUCGAAUAUAAAAGUUAGAGUCACUUAGACAUGCUUGUGACUGUAAUUAUACAAAUCAUCCCAGUCAUUACCACUGCAGAUUAUUCCAAUAAUGCAAUUAAUGCUUAACACUUGGCUUAGCUGAUAAUUACUGCUCCUUUGCUCGUGGAAACAAACAGAGCAACAUGCUUAAACGUGUGUAGGAGGAUGUAAACCGGAGCAUUUGUGGGGUAAUGACGAAUCCAAAAAGGAGCCUCCUGCCCUGCUCUGCAUGUCCACUGUGCCGUAGCGUGGACGCGGUCCUCUCGCUGUUUGCUACCUGCAACUGUGUUUGUUGCUGCUGCGGGGCUUCAGCUGGCUGCCACCGCUGCUGUCAUCUCAUGUUGCAUUGUGUAAACACCUUACAUCUAGCUCCACUGCUACACCGUUAGCCUGCGAUGAUUCCUUUGUUUGCAUUAAAAAGCAAACACAUGCAUCCAGGCAGUCAACUGUCGCAUUUCCUGACUGAUUUUGGGCUCUUCAGUGGUGGUGAUGAGCACACCGUGAUGUGGUAUAAAGUGUUGUGUUAGUCGCUGUGUGUGCCAGCCUGUGUUUGGACUGUUUCAAAAGAGCUGCUCUGCUGUAAAACCCACUGUUGACAUGUCCUGUCAAAUGCAACGCUCAAUUUCUUUGAGGCGUGGACGAAUGAGGCAUUGUGUGCUGAGAGUGACGCCUAUCUAAAGUGCAUGUGUGCUCCUGUGCUCGUGCACUAAUGCUGUUGUGUGCUGAUGACAUGCUGCUGCAGCUGCUGAUGACUACGGUGAUCCCUUUAGGCUAACCACUCUUUUCAACACAUGUGAGGUUGUCCUGUAAGUGUGCCUUAUUUCUGUCAAUAAAUUGUGGCUGUAAAUACAAAUAA